UACGGGGGGGGCAAGCGUUGUUCGGAAUUACUGGGCGUAAAGGGCUCGUAGGUGGCCAACUAAGUCAGACGUGAAAUCCCUCGGCUUAACCGGGGAACUGCGUCUGAUACUGGAUGGCUUGAGUUCGGGAGAGGGAUGCGGAAUUCCAGGUGUAGCGGUGAAAUGCGUUGAUAUCGUUCGGAACACCAAUAGCGUAGGCAGGCUUCUGGGUGCCACCUGACACUGCUAGGACGAGAGCGUGGGUAGCGAAUGGG
rnacentral:rRNA from 1 species